rnacentral:rRNA from 1 species
GUAGGUGGCGAGCGUUGUCCGGAAUUAUUGGGCGUAAAGCGCGCGCAGGCGGUUCUUUAAGUCUGAUGUGAAAGCCCACGGGCUCAACCGUGGAGGGUCAUUGGAAACUGGAGAACUUGAGUACAGAAGAGGAAAGCGGAAUUCCACGUGUAGCGGUGAAACGCGUAGAGAUGUGGAGGAACACCAGUGGCGAAGGCGGCUUUCUGGUCUGUAACUGACGCUGAGGCGCGAAAGCGUGGGGAGCAAACAGGAUUAGAUACCCUGGUAGUCCACGCCGUAAACGAUGAGUGCUAAGUGUUAGGGGGUUUCCGCCCCUUAGUGCUGCAGCUAACGCAUUAAGCACUCCGCCUGGGGAGUACGGCCGCAAAGGCUG